rnacentral:rRNA from 1 species
GAAAGUCUGACCGAGCAACGCCGCGUGAGUGAAGAAGGUUUUCGGAUCGUAAAGCUCUGUUGUAAGUCAAGAACGUGUGUGAGAGUGGAAAGUUCACACAGUGACGGUAGCUUACCAGAAAGGGACGGCUAACUACGUGCCAGCAGCCGCGGUAAUACGUAGGUCCCGAGCGUUGUCCGGAUUUAUUGGGCGUAAAGGGAGCGCAGGCGGUCAGGAAAGUCUGGAGUAAAAGGCUAUGGCUCAACCAUAGUGUGCUCUGGAAACUGUCUGACUUGAGUGCAGAAGGGGAGAGUGGAAUUCCAUGUGUAGCGGUGAAAUGCGUAGAUAUAUGGAGGAACACCAGUGGCGAAAGCGGCUCUCUGGUCUGUCACUGACGCUGAGGCUCGAAAGCGUGGGUAGCGAACAGGAUUAGAUACCCUGGUAGUCCACGCCGUAAACGAUGAGUGCUAGGUGUUAGGCCCUUUCCGGGGCUUAGUGCCGGAGCUAACGCAAUAAGCACUCCGCCUGGGGAGUACGACCGCAAGGUUGAAACUCAAAGGAAUUGACGGGGGCCCGCACAAGCGGUGGAGCAUGUGGUUUAAUUCGAAGCA